rnacentral:rRNA from 1 species
GAUGAACGCUGGCGGCGUGCCUAAUACAUGCAAGUCGAACGAGGUGCUUUUUGUAGCAAUACGAGGAGUAUCCUAGUGGCGAACGGGUGAGUAACGCGUGGGUGACCUACCCCAAAGUGUGGAAUAACAGUCCGAAAGGAUUGCUAAUGCCGCAUGUGGUCUGCGAGUUUAGAAAUCGUUGACUAAAGGAGCAAUUCGCUUUGGGAGGGACCUGCGUCCCAUCAGCUAGUUGGUGAGGUAACGGCUCACCAAGGCUACGACGGGUAGGGGACCUGAGAGGGUGGCCCCCCACAAUGGAACUGAAACACGGUCCAUACACCUACGGGUGGCAGCAGUAGGGAAUAUUGCUCAAUGGGCGAAAGCCUGAAGCAGCAACGCCGCGUGUGCGAUGGAGGCCUUCGGGUCGUAAAGCACUUUUCUAAGAGAUGAGAAAGGACAGUAUCUUAGGAAUAAGUCUCGGCUAACUACGUGCCAGCAGCCCGGUAAAGUCUAGCAUG